rnacentral:rRNA from 1 species
ACGAUAUGCUUUGGGGAGCUGUAAGUAAGCUUUGAUCCAGAGAUUUCCGAAUGGGGAAACCCAGCAUGAGUUAUGUCAUGUUAUCGAUAUGUGAAUACAUAGCAUAUCAGAAGGCACACCCGGAGAACUGAAACAUCUUAGUACCCGGAGGAAGAGAAAGAAAAUUCGAUUCCCUUAGUAGCGGCGAGCGAAACGGGAAGAGCCCAAACCAACAAGCUUGCUUGUUGGGGUUGUAGGACACUCUAUACGGAGUUACAAAGGACGACAUUAGACGAAUCAUCUGGAAAGAUGAAUCAAAGAAGGUAAUAAUCCUGUAGUCGAAAAUGUUGUCUCUCUUGAGUGGAUCCUGAGUACGACGGAGCACGUGAAAUUCCGUCGGAAUCUGGGAGGACCAUCUCCUAAGGCUAAAUACUCUCUAGUGACCGAUAGUGAACCAGUACCGUGAGGGAAAGGUGAAAAGCACCCCGGAAGGGGAGUGAAAUAGAACCUGAAACCGUGUGCUUACAAGUAGUCAGAGCCCGUUAAUGGGUGAUGGCGUGCCUUUUGUAGAAUGAACCGGCGAGUUACGAUUUGAUGCAAGGUUAAGCAGUAAAUGUGGAGCCGUAGCGAAAGCGAGUCUGAAUAGGGCGUUUAGUAUUUGGUCGUAGACCCGAAACCAGGUGAUCUACCCUUGGUCAGGUUGAAGUUCAGGUAACACUGAAUGGAGGACCGAACCGACUUACGUUGAAAAGUGAGCGGAUGAACUGAGGGUAGCGGAGAAAUUCCAAUCGAACCUGGAGAUAGCUGGUUCUCUCCGAAAUAGCUUUAGGGCUAGCCUCAAGUGAUGAUUAUUGGAGGUAGAGCACUGUUUGGACGAGGGGCCCCUCUCGGGUUACCGAAUUCAGACAAACUCCGAAUGCCAAUUAAUUUAACUUGGGAGUCAGAACAUGGGUGAUAAGGUCCGUGUUCGAAAGGGAAACAGCCCAGACCACCAGCUAAGGUCCCAAAAUAUAUGUUAAGUGGAAAAGGAUGUGGCGUUGCCCAGACAACUAGGAUGUUGGCUUAGAAGCAGCCAUCAUUUAAAGAGUGCGUAAUAGCUCACUAGUCGAGUGACACUGCGCCGAAAAUGUACCGGGGCUAAACAUAUUACCGAAGCUGUGGAUUGUCCUUUGGACAAUGGUAGGAGAGCGUUCUAAGGGCGUUGAAGCAUGAUCGUAAGGACAUGUGGAGCGCUUAGAAGUGAGAAUGCCGGUGUGAGUAGCGAAAGACGGGUGAGAAUCCCGUCCACCGAUUGACUAAGGUUUCCAGAGGAAGGCUCGUCCGCUCUGGGUUAGUCGGGUCCUAAGCUGAGGCCGACAGGCGUAGGCGAUGGAUAACAGGUUGAUAUUCCUGUACCACCUAUAAUCGUUUUAAUCGAUGGGGGGACGCAGUAGGAUAGGCGAAGCGUGCGAUUGGAUUGCACGUCUAAGCAGUAAGGCUGAGUAUUAGGCAAAUCCGGUACUCGUUAAGGCUGAGCUGUGAUGGGGAGAAGACAUUGUGUCUUCGAGUCGUUGAUUUCACACUGCCGAGAAAAGCCUCUAGAUAGAAAAUAGGUGCCCGUACCGCAAACCGACACAGGUAGUCAAGAUGAGAAUUCUAAGGUGAGCGAGCGAACUCUCGUUAAGGAACUCGGCAAAAUGACCCCGUAACUUCGGGAGAAGGGGUGCUCUUUAGGGUUAACGCCCAGAAGAGCCGCAGUGAAUAGGCCCAAGCGACUGUUUAUCAAAAACACAGGUCUCUGCUAAACCGUAAGGUGAUGUAUAGGGGCUGACGCCUGCCCGGUGCUGGAAGGUUAAGAGGAGUGGUUAGCUUCUGCGAAGCUACGACUCGAAGCCCCAGUAAACGGCGGCCGUAACUAUAACGGUCCUAAGGUAGCGAAAUUCCUUGUCGGGUAAGUUCCGACCCGCACGAAAGGCGUAACGAUUUGGGCACUGUCUCAACGAGAGACUCGGUGAAAUCAUAGUACCUGUGAAGAUGCAGGUUACCCGCGACAGGACGGGAAGACCCCGUGGAGCUUUACUGUAGCCUGAUAUUGAAAUUCGGCACAGCUUGUACAGGAUAGGUAGGAGCCUUUGAAACGUGAGCGCUAGCUUACGUGGAGGCGCUGGUGGGAUACUACCCUAGCUGUGUUGGCUUUCUAACCCGCACCACUUAUCGUGGUGGGAGACAGUGUCAGGCGGGCAGUUUGACUGGGGCGGUCGCCUCCUAAAAGGUAACGGAGGCGCUCAAAGGUUCCCUCAGAAUGGUUGGAAAUCAUUCAUAGAGUGUAAAGGCAUAAGGGAGCUUGACUGCGAGACCUACAAGUCGAGCAGGGUCGAAAGACGGACUUAGUGAUCCGGUGGUUCCGCAUGGAAGGGCCAUCGCUCAACGGAUAAAAGCUACCCCGGGGAUAACAGGCUUAUCUCCCCCAAGAGUUCACAUCGACGGGGAGGUUUGGCACCUCGAUGUCGGCUCAUCGCAUCCUGGGGCUGUAGUCGGUCCCAAGGGUUGGGCUGUUCGCCCAUUAAAGCGGUACGCGAGCUGGGUUCAGAACGUCGUGAGACAGUUCGGUCCCUAUCCGUCGUGGGCGUAGGAAAUUUGAGAGGAGCUGUCCUUAGUACGAGAGGACCGGGAUGGACAUACCUCUGGUGUACCAGUUGUCGUGCCAACGGCAUAGCUGGGUAGCUAUGUGUGGACGGGAUAAGUGCUGAAAGCAUCUAAGCAUGAAGCCCCCCUCAAGAUGAGAUUUCCCAACUUCGGUUAUAAGAUCCCUCAAAGAUGAUGAGGUUAAUAGGUUCGAGGUGGAAGCAUGGUGACAUGUGGAGCUGACGAAUACUAAUCGAUCGAAGACUUAAUCAAAUU